AGCUGAGAAAUGCCAGUGUUGGCCAUGCUGGCCACAUGUGGGACGGAGCAGGAUCCCCAGCCACCCAUGCGAGGCCACCCCCUUCCUGGGGGGGGUCCUUGUUCAGAGGGGCACCGACAACUAACUGGCUGAACAAGCCGUCUCAUGACGUCUUGGAACCCUGACCAUAAAGGUGCAGGACCUGGCCACAGCACCCUGCCUGUGCUGGCACUGCACAGACCUGUCUGUCAGGAGCCUCCUGCCGGCCCAUUUCUGCCUAUCCAGGCAUCGACUUCAGAAUCUCAGGUGCUGCUUGGCAGGAAAAUGCCCAGCAGGCGGGCCUGGGACUCGGUGAUGCGCCUGUGCCGGGGAGGGCAGAACGCUGGUGCCUGGCACAGGUGCCACAACACAUACGGGUGAGGACAUUGAAAACCCCUCAGUUCCCCUGACUCAUGGCCACUUGUCCCAGUGACACAGCCAUGCUCUCCCACUCACCCACAAUAGGGUCUGAAUGUGCCCCCCAGAUUCACAGUGAGAAACUCAUUCCCCAGAGCAACAGUGUAGAGAGGUGGAACCUGAUGGGAGCCCCGCCCUCACAGACGAACUCCUGUAGCUGUCAAGACAGCUUGGGCAUGGAUUCCUCUCUGCCUUCUGCCAUGUGGACACGUGGCCUUCCUCCCCUCUCUCCUCCGGGGAAUGCAGUGUUUGGGCGCCAUCUUGGAAGCAGAGAUCAGGCCUCACCAGACACCAAGCCUACUGGCACCAUGACCCUGGACUCCCAGCCUCCACAGCUGGGAAAGAACUCUGCUCCCUAGAAAUUACCCAGGCUCGCUCAGGUGUGUGCUCCUGUACCAACACUGAAAUCCAGCUGUCACAACAGGCACCCACUGACCCCAGCCUCAUGGAACCACCAUUCACCAGGCUCGAGGGGAGGAUGUCACGGCGCGCUGUUCCCUUCGGUGCCAGCCAGGAUGGGGCCGGGUGGGUGUGGCUGGUGAAAAGAAAUGCAGCCCCCCAGCCCCUGCAGACCAAGCCGAACAGCCCAGCUCGCGGGCGGAUCACAGGGCACCCAGCAGCCGCCUUCCCUCCGGAAGAGCCAAGGCGGCUUCCAAGACCAGAAAUGCCCCCAGUGUGGCUGUGCCUGUCCCCGGUGCCCGCCGGCUGGGGGGCAGCAUGCCCAAACAGAUGCACCCUGCCCAUGAUGGCACCCCAGGGACCCCCAUCCUCAGGACCCUCCAGUCGUUCAAGCUGGAAUUGGCAGGUUUCUGCCUGUAUAGGCAUCGGCUUCAGAGUCUCAGGUGCUGCUUGGCAGGAAAAUGCACGGCAGGAGGGGCUGGGCCUCGGCUCGAGGCUCCCAGGUGCACCCCCCCACUCCACUGCAGGGCCCAGGGUGGCCAAGAACAGCCACAACAACAACAAAAGCCAAACUGGGAACGGAAUCGUGGAAAAAACCCUCAUAGGCUUUUGGGAACUUACAAAGAAAUGCCCACAUCCAUUCUACUAACAUGGCAUCUACUAACGUGGCAUCUACUAGGAUGCCACAAAACAGACAAAUCCUUCCACGUAAGGCUGGACACGUGUCAGGGCGGUGUCUCAAAGCUGGGCCACAGGCAGCAUCCACGGCCAGGCCACUGGGUGGAGGAGACGGUGCUGGGGAGGAGCCGGAGGGAGGGGCCGGGGCUGUUCCCUUAGGCAGAACGGCUCACCUGUGGUGUGCGCACAGCAGGGUUGUGGGGACACAAGAUGCCCCCUUCAUUCAUCAGUUACUUGUAUUCUUUGUAUGAAACACUUGCCGAUACAAUGUGAAAAAGGGGGCAUUUCCUAAAAUACUUUCCCUACCUUAGUCCUGUGCUGCUUUACAAGGGUUUAAUAAGCAGCAGGGGUGGGAACAGAGCAGGACCCAGCCCGUUCUCUGCUCCGAGGGCUCAAGAUUGCCUCAGUUUCCCUGACAGCAUCCCCAGGGGCCAGCGUUACCUCCUCCUCUUGCUCAAAAGCCUUCAGUGCCCAUCUCUGCAGCUGGCACGUGGGCUCCAGGUCAGGACCCAUGGUGCCUGACACCUUUUCCCACCGCCGCCCCCUGCGCCCAACCCAUGGACGUCCUGGCCUCUCAGAGCAGUGCGUUUGAAUGCACGCUGGCCCCAGGUCAGACGCUGUGGCAGUAACAGGUGCUGCCCCUGUGGCUGCAACCACAGCAGUGACCUGAGAUACAACAGGGGGCCCGUUCUGUGUCCAUGGGGCUGGGGGCCCAAGGGCUCUAGUUCUGAAGGGACAUCUGAGAAAUAGCCUGGGGGAGGUGAGGGCUGGAGCCUGGGGAGGGCACAGCUGUGCAAAGGCCCCAUAGUGGGCGCGUGCCUUGUGUGCUGGGGGCCACAGAGGGGCCCAAUGAGACCCGAGUGAAGGGGCUGAGGGGGAGGAGGCUUUUGGACACAGGAGGACACUGCUGUCCGUAGGGCCAGGCAGGAUG